GCAUUAUCUCAGGCAAAACUCUUAAUAUGUUUGACCUAUGGUAGGGCUAAAAUGAGGAUAGAACUUUAAGAAGACAGAAGUUGAAGCUUGGCAACUUAGAGACACAGUUCCCUCUCAGAAAAGUUUUUUUCUGGCCUUUAUGUUGUUAAUCACCAUAGCAUUUAGAAUAGGAGAAGAUCAGGAAUUACUGUGUUGAAGGAUACCCUAAACCACCCUCAUGUUAGGAUAUUCACUGGAAGAACUCACAGGACCCCAUGUAUAGUUGUGCUCACAGCAAAAGUUUAUUACAGCAAUGUAGUAAGGAUGAACAACUGGAUCAUAAAGGAAAGAUGCAGACAGAGUCAGGAAUCUGUGUCCUCUCUCUCCCAUCAGGCUCACACAAAGCAUACUCUUCCUCCAAAAUAUAAAUGCAGUAACAUCUUCCUGCAGUGAUUCUGCCUAAGGAAACCCAGUAGAGACUCAGUAGUCAAGAUUUUUUAAAAAAGGUUUUGUUACAGAGACACCUCUGUCUAGCAUAUACCAAAAUUCCAGACUCCUAGAAGAAAAGCACAAUGAACCAUCCUUCUUUCUAAGGACAUCAGUCUCAGGCCAACUGUGUUAACUUUUUUCUGUAUUCAUAUCAAAUCCCUGAUGUCCAGCCUAUCUUGAAAAGAACUGGAGCCUCUGGUCCUACCAAACCUGCAUUCCCAUUUAUCAACUGCAAUAGCAGAAUGGUGCACCCCACUUCCAAGACACAUACUAAUUCCUGGAACCUGUUACUAUGUUUCCUUAUAGGAAGAGAUAUUUUGCAGAUGAGAUGAAGGUGAGAAUCUUGAGAUGGUGAGAUUAGUUUAAAGCAUCCUGGUGGACCCACUGUUCACAAGUGUCCUUAUUAGUUAAAGAGAGAAGCAUAACGGUCAGAAUCAGAAGAGGUCAGAUGCAGAGACUGGAAUGACAUGAUUGUUCGCUUUAAAGAUGGGCCAUGGUAGAAGAUGGAAGGCAAGGGACAGAGUCUUCCCUAGAAUCUUCCCUUCUAACACCCUUAUUUUAACUCCAUAGACCUAUUUUGGACUUUUGAUCUU
rnacentral:lncRNA from 1 species